rnacentral:rRNA from 1 species
UACGGGGGGGGGCAAGCGUUGUUCGGAAUUACUGGGCGUAAAGGGCUCGUAGGCGGCCAACUAAGUCAGACGUGAAAUCCCUCGGCUUAACCGGGGAACUGCGUCUGAUACUGGAUGGCUUGAGUUUGGGAGAGGGAUGCGGAAUUCCAGGUGUAGCGGUGAAAUGCGUAGAUAUCUGGAGGAACACCGGUGGCGAAGGCGGGUCUCUGGGCGAGUAACUGACGCUGAGGAGCGAAAGCGUGGGGAGCGAACAGG